AGUGAACGCUGGCGGUAGGCCUAACACAUGCAAGUCGAACGGCAGCACAGGAGAGCUUGCUCUCUGGGUGGCGAGUGGCGGACGGGUGAGGAAUACAUCGGAAUCUACUCUGUCGUGGGGGAUAACGUAGGGAAACUUACGCUAAUACCGCAUACGACCUACGGGUGAAAGCAGGGGACCUUCGGGCCUUGCGCGAUUGAAUGAGCCGAUGUCGGAUUAGCUAGUUGGCGGGGUAAAGGCCCACCAAGGCGACGAUCCGUAGCUGGUCCGAGAGGAUGGUAAGCCACACUGGAACGGAGACACGGUCCAGACUCAUGCGGGAGGCAGCAGUGGGGAAUAUUGGGCAAUGGGCGCAAGCAUGAUCCAGCCAUACCGCAUGGGUGAAGAAGGCCUUCGGGUUGUAAAGCCCUUUUGUUGGGAAAGAAAUCCAGCUGGCUAAUACCCGGUUGGGAUGACGGUACCCAAAGAAUAAGCACCGGCUAACUUCGUGCCAGCCGCCGCCGUAA
rnacentral:rRNA from 1 species